GGCCGUGUGGCGAAAUGGCAUCGCGUCUGACUACGACUCAGAGCGAAUCAGGAGAUUGCAGGUUCGACCCCUGUCUCGGUCA
rnacentral:tRNA from 1 species